rnacentral:sRNA from 1 species
GGUGUAUGUGCUCUGUAUGCCGUACGCCGUUACUCGACGAAUAUUUUCCGGAGACACGAAAAUAUCAAAAGAACUAAUAAUCUCAACUUUGAGUUGCGCAAGAAGGAAACAAGAGGGGAGCCGGUGAUGGGGCCCAGCACAUCCAUCAGCAUCUUCGUUAUCAUGGGAUACAUGUUUAUAUUGGUUGGCUCCAGAUAAUAUACGCACGAACUUCAUAUGAUUGACGGGCACCCAACCGAAAAAAGAAAAAGGAAAAAGGAAAAAAAAGCAAACGGUUUACCAGCAGAAUCUUUAAGAGUCGCUUUCGCGAACCACUACUAAUGCCGAGAAUAAUUAGCCCAUAUCAAAAUAAAAGGAAUACAUGCCCUAUCAUCUAUCCUCUUAUGCUCCCAUGGAGGAGUCUGCAGUUUGUUUUGAAAUUCCAUCCCCACUAGAGCUUUGGCACAUAUCCCUACUCCUCUCAUGAAAGUUAUUUCUUUCGAACGGUUAAUUCUCUACAGUGAGGCGGCAAGGGCCCCAAUUACCUAAACCUACAUCUUUGAAAGGACGUAUGUAUAUUCAGUUAGGAUCUGGAGUAGUAGUGAAAUGAGGAAGCUUGUGCGUUUGUUCUUGUUAUUAGUUAUCUCUUAAAGGUCCAUAUUGAGAUAGCUGAAGACGCACAUUAGUGGGCAGGAAGCUACUUCCAAUAAAAUGACAGGAAAUUUUUGAGAUCACAGCACUUCGCCGUUCAGUAGACUGCACGGUCGGCAAUAAAGGAGCUAAUGAAAAACG